rnacentral:rRNA from 1 species
UACGUAUGGGGCGAGCGUUGUUCGGAGUUAUUGGGCGUAAAGGGCGUGUAGGCGGUCCGAGAAGUCUGGUGUGAAAUCGCAGGGCUCAACCCUGCGUGUGCGCUGGAAACUGACGGACUGGAGUCCCGGGGGGGAAGCUGGAAUUCCUGGUGUAGGAGUGAAAUCUGUAGAGAUCAGGAAGAACACCGGUGGCGAAGGCGAGCUUCUAUUCGAGGACUGACGCUGAGGCGCGAAAGCGUGGGGAGCAAACAGG